GAGGCUGAUUUCUCCACUGAUGACACGAUUCUCGGUAAGAGUCUUGCUCUCCAGGCCUAAUCCAUACAGCCCAUUUCUUUUUUUCCUGUUUCCAUUCGAGUGUAGCAGUAAGUUACCAAUUAUCAAACAAUUACCACUUCAAUAGAAAUAUAUGGAAUCCAGAUGUUGUGCACAGUCUCUUGUAAGAGGCAUUUGCAUGGGAGAUCAACUAAACUGGAGUUGUUAUUAAGCAAUUUGAGCCUUUCCUUGUCUCAUGUAAUAUCUCAGUUUUCUUUCAUAGUACUAGCAAAGCGCAUAUUUAUUAAUUUCCCAUGAAAAUUUGCAUUGCUCUAGAAUAUUCAAGGACUGAACAAAGAAAAAUUAUGUAUUGACUAUCAUAAUAAAUUUCAAGAAC
rnacentral:misc_RNA from 1 species